AUACUUUCGCAAGGCACUGUACCAUUUGUAGUGAACUAGCUCUCCGUCGAUCUGAAGCAAGGAUGGUUCUUUGCUAUGUAGCGGAUUGUAACCACUACUCCAAUAAGCACACACGCAUGUUAUCAUUUUCCGACCUCUGUAAUCGAGAGGCGUCGCUGGAGCCGUGUGAUAAGGUACAGGCAGGGAUGACUGGGGACUUCAGGAGGUACUGUCAGGAGGCAAGACGAGAACGCUGAUCCAGUGCACUCAGGAUCCCAGACCCUGUGACUUAAAGCCCUGACCACUGCACAUCCUUCACUGUAGCCAUUUUUAAUGCCUUGAUGUCCUUAUUGUUAUCUGUGCCCCACUUUACUGACAACACUCCAUCCAAAGACUGUAAACGCCUUGAAAUGCAUUCGUUCUAAGAAAUGUGCUAUAUAAAUAAAGUUUGAUUUGAUUGAUGACAUUACAGCUAUAGAAUAUUUA